UGGGCUGGUCGAAAGACCCGGGCCCACCAAAUGGCGGGUAUCUUACCC
rnacentral:sRNA from 12 species